rnacentral:rRNA from 1 species
AACGAACGCGGGCGGCAGGCCUAACACAUGCAAGUCGAGCGAGACCUUCGGGUCUAGCGGCGGACGGGUUAGUAACGCGUUGGUGACCUGCCCCGAAGAGGGGGACAACAGCUCGAAAGGGCUGCUAAUACCCCAUGUGGUCGUACAGGUUAGAGGCUGAACGACUAAAGGAGCAAUCCACUUCGGGGGGGGCCUGCGUCCCAUCAGCUAGUUGGUAAGGUAACGGCCUACCAAGGCGAAGACGGGUAGGGGGUCUGAGAGGGUGGCCCCCCACACUGGCACUGAAACACGGGCCAGACACCUACGGGUGGCAGCAGUAGGGAAUAUUGCACAAUGGGCGAAAGCCUGAUGCAGCAACGCCGCGUGCGCGAAGAAGGCCUUCGGGUUGUAAAGCGCUUUUCUGGAGGAAGAGGAAGGACGGUACUCCAGGAAUAAGGAUCGGCUAACUACGUG